rnacentral:rRNA from 1 species
GAACUUUGAGCGCCAGCUUGAAGGGAGGCAUCCUUGGGAUACCACCCUGAUCGUAUCUAGGUUCUAACUUGGUACCGUAAUCCGGUACGAGGACAGUGUCAGGUGGGCAGUUUGACUGGGGCGGGCGCCUCCUAAAGAGUAACGGAGGCGCCCCAAGGUUCCCUCAGAAUGGUUGGAAAUCAUUCGAAGAGUGCAAAGGCAGAAGGGAGCUUGACUGCGAGACCUACAAGUCGAGCAGGGACGAAAGUCGGG